rfam:Mannheimia haemolytica M42548, complete genome.
GGGGCUGAUUUUGGAUUCGACGGGAUUGGCGAAGCCCAAGGUGCAUGUCGAGGUGCGGUAGGCCUCGUAAACAAACCGCAAAAUAAUAGUCGCAAACGACGAACAAUACGCUUUAGCAGCUUAAUAACCUGCUUUAAAGCCUUAUCUCCUCAGCUUCCGCUCGUAAGACGAGGGCAAAGAUAAGUCACCCAAAACGAGAUCGUGUGGACGCCGCCGCUUUAGGAUCGAAACACUAAAUUAAAUAAAGCUAGUUUAUUCAUUGCGUGUCUGUCCGCUGUGAAUAAGCGAAAUUAAAGACUAGACUAAACAUGUAGUACUGAAGGUAGAGAAAUUUCGGACGGGGGUUCAAAUCCCCCCAGCUCCACCA